rnacentral:misc_RNA from 1 species
GAUGAAGAACGUAGCGAAAUGCGAUAAGUAAUGUGAAUUGCAGAAUUCAGUGAAUCAUCGAAUCUUUGAACGCACAUUGCGCCCCCUGGUAUUCCGGGGGGCAUGCCUGUUCGAGCGUCAUUACAACCCUCAAGCUCUGCUUGGUGUUGGGCCCCGCCGCCCCGGCGGGCCCUAAAAUCAGUGGCGGUGCCGUCCGGCUCCGAGCGUAGUAAUUCUUCUCGCUCUGGAGGUCCGGGUGUGUGCUCGCCAGCAACCCCCAAUUUUUUUCAGGUUGACCUCGGAUCAGGUAGGGAUACCCGCUGAACUUAAGCAUAUCAAUAAGCGGAGGA